GAUGAACGCUGGCGGCGUGCCUAAUACAUGCAAGUCGAGCGAACAGACGAGGAGCUUGCUCCUCUGACGUUAGCGGCGGACGGGUGAGUAACACGUGGAUAACCUACCUAUAAGACUGGGAUAACUUCGGGAAACCGGAGCUAAUACCGGAUAAUAUAUUGAACCGCAUGGUUCAAUAGUGAAAGACGGUUUUGGUGUCACAUAUAGAUGGAUCCGCGCGGCAUUAUCUAGUUGGCAAGGUAACGGCUUUCCAAGGCAACAAUGCGUAGCCGACGCGAGGGGGUGUACGGCCACAGUGGAACUGAGACACGGUCCAGACUCCGAGGGGAGGCAGAAGUAGGUACUCUUCCGAAAUGGGCGAAAGCCUGACGGAGCAACGCAGCGUGAGUGAUGAAGGUCUGCGGAUCGUAAAACUCUGUUAUUAGGGAAGAACAAAUGUGUAAGUAACGAUGCAUGUCUGGACGGAACCUAAACAGAAAGCCACGGCUAAUUACGG
rnacentral:rRNA from 1 species